rnacentral:sRNA from 1 species
GGGACACAUGUAAACUACAUGAAACUAAGAUAAAAUUUCGGCAUUCGCGAUUUUAUGUUCUCACCAUUUGAUGGUUAAUCGUGGAAUCGUGGAAUUAAGUACUCGCGUAAAAUAAGGAAUCUACAGUAUCAACAGAUUUUUAUAUACGCCCUAAAGAAAAUUAAUUCUAGUAAUUACAUCGGUUUUAAAACUUAAAUUUGAAAAACUUAAAUACAAUUAUAUAUGAGUAUGUUUUGAAUUUUAUUGAGCUACCUAGUUUUAAAUUGAUGGUCAGUAUUUUUUCUACAUGUAUAUUUGUGUAGACUAUAUAGAGUUAUGUACUGGUAUACUGAAUAUAACAACAUUUCAUACUUUAUGCUAAACUUUGAGUGAUUACCAGUUUGUGCACUUUUUCACAAAGAAUAUUUUUGUCCAUCAUUCGAAUUUUAACUGGAAGUUAAUGAUAAUGGUGAUCUCUUAUGUUUUCUAAUCCUCAGCUCAAAUUUCAAGCACACACACAAAUUUAUUUUACUGUACAUGCAGUAUCCUGGCAUUACACAAAGUCAAAGAUUUUUGCCUAGCUCUGUCAUAAUGGAAAGUUUAUAUUUUUUUCACAGUGCAGAAUUCUGUGAAUUUUUUUUACGUUUAAACCCACAUUUUCUAAUUAUGCAUUCAUGAGAGUUUUUUGCCUAAGGAACAAAAAGUCAGUCAUGAUUUCAAUUAUUAAUGUAAUCCCUAUCAGUUAAUUACACCUUUUCCAACAUGAUAGCCAAACUAUGAUUAAAAUUAAUGAUUUCUGGAUGAAGAGUUAUUGAACAUUGUUGAGGAUUUGAUAUUGUUUUAAAUAACAAUGUUAUUGAUUAUUACAAUUGUACAGUUGUAUUUCUGGUGAUUUAUCCUCUUGUUUGUAGAAUAGAUACAAUUUUUGUUUAAAUCCGUCGAUAAAAUUGUGUCAGUCUGUCAAACCAUUCUGGGUUUUUUUUAUUCCAUUAAAGAAAAGUUCUAUAUAUUUUU